rnacentral:lncRNA from 1 species
GCUCAUUUCUUUCUUCUUUUCUCUAUACGUUGGUGUUCUAACCAAUAAUCAUUCAAUCGCUAUUACGAUUCAUUUUCCGACCGAUCAAUAUAUCCAAUGGAUGUUUAAGUGCCGCCCACAUUAGGGUUAUACUUUGUCGUUCGUCGUUAAUUCGAUGAAUGUUUAAGUAUCGCGCUUUGUCUUUCGUUGUGAGAAUUUGAUCUCGUGAGUUAUCGUAAAAGCUGUAUUGAUCAUUAACCCGGUUUUUGUGAAAUUCGUUAAGGUUCGAAUCUCAUGACUACCGUUAAGGUUUGAUUUGGGUUUUACACCAAUACGUAUUCCAUUCUGUUAAACUAUAUAUUUAACUACCAAGAAUACUCCCAACUACACCCUUACAAUCAAACAAACUAUUAAAUCAUCAGAAGAUCCAGAAUAAUAAAGUGCAUGCUUAAUUAUCGGAAGAAGUAGAAUCAAGAAGUUUGUUAACUCAAUCCUGCAUGCUGAGUUAUGGUAUUCGGAACUGUGUUCUCUUUAGUAAAAACUAAUUACCCAAAAUACCCCUAUAAAUCCCAAUGCUUUUUUCACCGACAAGAAAGGUCCAUUAGCAUGUAUGCUGAAUAUAUGCCCAACCAAAAUAAAAAAUCACGAUCUGUAAUCAUAAGAUCUGAACUUGCCAGUACUGGGUCACCUGGAACAUCCUAUCAAUUAUCAGUGCUUUAAGUGAUCGGUGAUUCCCACCGAUCCAAGCUAAAGAAUUACCGUUCCUUGCAAUGUACAGUUUCCCUUCUUACUAAUUAUGAAAACGCUGCUAAUUAUCUCUAUUGGGAGGUUGGAAAGCACGGAAUUAUAAUCGAGUUCACCGAUCCCGACAAUAAUACAAAGCGAAAUGCUACGUACCUACCCGAAAUCGCUUCUCAAGAAGGAAUGUAUUUGGACAGCUGGCAGCAGGGAUGCCGUUGGUGGUAACAGUCACACUAGAGGAGCUUGAAGCUAUUGAACGACUUGAAGCAAUGGGAUUUGAUAUCUUUUAACAACUUAUUAGUGUUACAAAAGGUUCCUUGAAGAUGUUGAGAUUGGUGGAGAACAAAAAGUAGGUCGUGGUACCAAAGUCAUCGAAGCAGCAAAGCAGUCGGAGAAGUAGGGUUUAGAAGGGGAGCCGAAUGUCUAACAAAAAGUUUGCAAAAUGUAUCUGAUGCGCUGCAAGAGAAGUCAACUCCGGAUAAGGAAUGUUCUGAGUUUAUGAAAUCUGAAUUGAAAGCAGAAGCAUUUUUGACAAGUUUACUGCGAGAGAAACUGUAUUCAAAAGAAGUGGAUGUAGAACGACUCGAGGCUGAGCUGGCAACAGCUGUCAGAGGAGAGGAAACGAUGUUUUGAGAUGUGAAGUGCAAAACGCAAUGGAUAGUCUUUCUUGUAUUACACACAAGAUGAAAGAACUUGAACUCCAAGUGAUCAAGAAAGAUGAAAGCAUUUAUCAUCUUCAAGUCAAUCUGCAAGAUUGCAAAAAAUAAUUAGCAGUCGUUAAUGGGAUCCUACCAAAACUGUAUCAUCGUUUUACAUCAUAUGUCCCCAAAUCAAUACCCCUUUUUUUCCAAACAUUUUGUUGUGUUAGAAUGUCUAGCAUGCUAUUAUUUAACUGUCCCAUGUGGCCGUUAAAAACUUAUCAUUUAAGGUUUGAAUUUUGUUCACGGCCCUGUAUUGUCGACCUCGCCGCAACGCGCGGGUUUGCCACUAGUUAUAAAUAAAUGUUCAACUUGAUUAGUA